AACGUUUAGAUAUAGCGUUGAGAGACCUGGUUUAGUGGGGUUAUGUUGGAGGUAGGUGGAUGGUUGGUCUGGGUGAUCUUGUAGGUCUUUUCCAACCUAGCUAAUUCUAUGAUUCUAUGAUUGUAUGUAAAUAAUACAGGAGGAAAAUGAUACAAGAAACUAAUUGUUCUCAGGAAAGUCUUGCAGGAGACAAAUAAAUAUGUGGUCUCAAAUAAACCUCUGAGUCUGGAUUCCCCAGUGGAUCCAUUCCAACCAGGAGAUUGGGUGUAUAUAAAAUCCUGGACUUUGGAACCACUGCAAGAGAAGUGGAAAUGACCCUUCCAAGUUCUACCGAUCACCUACACUGCAGUGAAACUGAAAGGAAAAGGACCCUGGCUCAGAUUAGGAAGGCACCUUCCACAUGGAAUGUUGAACAGACUUAUCUUGCUGUUGAAAGAUAAGAUAAUUAGGCAAGCAUAAUGUACAAAGUAACUUUGGUAGCAGGAAUUUGCUUUGUAGGUUGUGAAGGAUGGAAAAACAAUGUACAUUUACAAAUAGUGGGGAAUCUAGCUAAUGUAACUAAUUCCUCUGUUUGCUGCAUAUGUACCUAGGUAAUCUUAUGGGGAGAGAAUUGAACAAAUAAUGCAUGCCUUGGGAUAAAUCUACCAGGCAGAUCCACAUGGAGGAAAUGAAGUUCAUUUAGAUGACAGAAAGAGGUGUGUCUCUCAAUCAAGGAGUUAACGAAGCUCUGCUGAGUCUUUAUACCAAGGAAACAUGAGGUCCUGUUUGGAAUUGGUUAAUGAAUAUGUAGUAUACUGCUGGGAAACUUCUGCAUAUGUAACAUACUUCCUGGGAAAUUUCUGCAUAUAUAACACAAGUAAUGUAUAUAUACUGAAGAUCUUUUGUGUAAUCUGUGCGUGACUGGAGGAUUACCCCCAUGCAUCCAGUGCUGCUAUUAAAGAAUGUCUGCUUUCUAACGAUCCCA